GACGAACGCUGGCGGCGUGCUUAACACAUGCAAGUCGAACGGAAAGGCCCUGCUCUUGUGGGGUGCUCGAGUGGCGAACGGGUGAGUAACACGUGAGUAACCUGCCCUUGACUUUGGGAUAACUUCAGGAAACUGGGGCUAAUACCGGAUAGGAGCUCCUGCUGCAUGGUGGGGGUUGGAAAGUUUCGGCGGUUGGGGGUGGACUCGCGGCUUAUCAGCUUGUUGGUGGGGUAGUGGCUUACCAAGGCUUUGACGGGUAGCCGGCCUGAGAGGGUGACCGGCCACAUUGGGACUGAGAUACGGCCCAGACUCCUACGGGAGGCAGCAGUGGGGAAUAUUGCACAAUGGGCGGAAGCCUGAUGCAGCAACGCCGCGUGCGGGAUGACGGCCUUCGGGUUGUAAACCGCUUUCGCCUGUGACGAAGCGUGAGUGACGGUAAUGGGUAAAGAAGCACCGGCUAACUACGUG
rnacentral:rRNA from 1 species